GCCCCACACCCACACAAAUACGGACGCGACGGCACACACCAGACGGAGACCCGACGAACCCUACUACCGACACCCCCCACAUACAGAAAGCCACACAGAGACACUCACAAACACACACAA
rnacentral:lncRNA from 1 species